AUCCAGCUAACGAGUCUCAGCCGGGACGAAACGGGCGUCCUGGAU
rfam:Schistosoma mattheei strain Denwood, Zambia genome assembly, scaffold: SMTD_scaffold0000858